rnacentral:pre_miRNA from 1 species
UUACUACUCCCUUCGUCUCAAAAUUUUUGGUUUAGAUUUGUCUAGAUAUGAAUAUAUCAUCUAAUUAUAUUUUAGUAUUUAGAUACAUUCAUUUCUAGACAAAUCGAAGACAAAAAAUUUAGAACGAAAGGAGUAUUAA